rnacentral:rRNA from 1 species
UACGAAGGGGGCUAGCGUUGUUCGGAUUUACUGGGCGUAAAGCGCACGUAGGCGGAUCGUUAAGUCGGGGGUGAAAUCCUGGAGCUCAACUCCAGAACUGCCUCGAUACUGGAGUGCUAGUCCGGGAGAGGUGAGGUGGAACUGCGAGUGUAGAGGUGAAAUUCGUAGAUAUUACGCGAAGAACACCAAGUAGGCGAGGCGGAGUCGCCUGGCC